rnacentral:lncRNA from 1 species
CCGGUCGAGUUCAUUUUUCCCCAAGCAAGUUUUGGUUUGUGGUGUAGUGGAUCAAACCACAGACAGCGUUGCAAAUACCAAUUCAGAUAGCCUAUGCGCCGGCGCUGCACCCAUCGAGGAGAAGCCAGUUGCGCGCAUCAUACACGACAAAGAGUCAGUCGCCGACUACCCGGAGUCCACAUCUACAACAGGGAGUUGCUGGAUAGACGCUCACUGCUUUAUAUUUUGCUUUGAUCGGUGGUUCCCAGGUGUUUUACAUUUUUGGGGGGGAUAGGAACGGCUCGUGGGUUUCCAAGAUGAACCAAACUGCCGGCGUUUCGCACCAAGUGAAAUGCCAGUCUUCUGUGUCUUCGAAGGCUAUGGCCAAGACGGUGAAGCCAUCACCCUGGUCAGAGACCUCAGAGCUGCCGUGCUGUCCUGGCUGUUCUGGCUUCAUUACCUGCAGUGGAGAAGGUGAAAGAGGUGAAAGAGCUUGACCAUGACAGAGAGAAUUUACCUGUGGAAAAGGCACUGGGUGUCCAGUGGGAUGUGGAGGCUGACACACUUUGAUUCAGAACAGUCAUGAAGAAUCGACCACACACAAGAGGUAUAGUAUCUGUUGUCUGCUCAGUGUAUGAUCCUCUGGGAUUCCUUGCAACUUUCAUCCUGACAACAAGGAGAAUACUCCAGAAGCUGUGCAAAUCCAACUGUGGCUGGGAUGAAGAAAUACCAGAUGUAUUUUCUCAGCAGUGGAAGAAACGUCUUGCAGAUCUGAACCAACUGACUGGUUUCUAUGUCAACAGAUGCAUCAAACCAUGUGGCUUUGGCAAGGUAAUAUCUGCAUAGUUGCAACAUUUCUGUGAUGCCAGUGUGGUAGUAUAUGGUGUUGUGACCUAUCUACUGCAAAGACCCUCCCCCAACUAGAGCUUUCAGCAGUAGGUCUUGCAGUAUGUGUUGAUACAAUGUUGAAAUCAGAGUUUCAGAUUCAGCUGCAAAAAUCCGUCUUCUGGACUGAUAGCAAAUCUGUGUUAAGCUACAUAGCCAAAGAAACAAGAAGGUUGCACACAUUCAUGGCAAACAGAUCUGUUCUGAAAAAUAUUAAUAAGAGAGUACCUUCCAUUAAUGCAGUGAGCGCCAAAAAUGGAAGCUCUUAAAAAGGAGAUGACAUUAUACUAGUAGUGGACGAUAUAGCACCACACAACUCCUGAUUGAUGGCCAGCUGUGCUUGCUGCAGGAAGUAACAUAGUAGGACUAACAUAUAGAGUAUACUGACACUUUACAAAGACACAUUUAAAAUAUAUAUAUUUAGCUAGGCAAGUCAGUUAAGAACAAAUUCUUAUUUACAAUGAUAGCCUACCCCGGCCAAACACGGAUGACGCUGGGCCAAUUGUGCUCCGCCCUAUGGGACUCCCAAUCACAGCCGGUUGUGAUACAGCCUGGAGUCGAUCCAGGGUCUGUAAUGCCACCUCUGGCACUGAGAUGCAGUGCCUUAGACCACUGCGCCACUCGGGAGCCCAUACACCAACGUGGCCCCUGGUGGGUCUCAACAAAGGACUAACACACACACAAAAGAACUAUGGACUUGAGAAAUAUGAAGAAGAAAAAAUUGUAUGAUGUAUGAAAUAUAAUAAUGAUUUAUUUUGGCUUGCAGCCACAAUUAGGGGCUGGAAUGUAGGAGCCAUUUCUCAUGUUUUGUGUUCUAUUCUUUGCCUCCCUAUUUACUUACCUGUUUAGC